CUGUUAAAGGCAGGAAUCCCAGCCAGGAAUGUCUGCACUCCUGUGUCGGUGGAGGUUAUGUGCUCUUGGCUGGAGGAUUACUCAUAACUCUCCUUGUAAUGUCACUACAUGUCUGGGUCUCUAUGUACGGACAGUUAUGGAUGAAGAGUUCACAGAUAUGUAUGCAGUUCCCACUGAUUUCAAAUGGAGUUGCACAUGUAUCCAAUGUUGUCCAUCGUACUUUCCAAUCUGAAAAUACACACCGCAAAUAUAAAGAAAAUGAAAAUGCUGAGUCUCCAUGGACAUUUACACUCCCUUCUGCUUUAACUAGGAAGAAAAUACAGCACAAGCAUAGGACACAGCCUCAAGAUCAGAGCUGCCAGACCUCAAC